rnacentral:rRNA from 1 species
AACGAACGCUGGCGGCAGGCUUAACACAUGCAAGUCGAACGCAUCCUUCGGGGUGAGUGGCAGACGGGCGAGUAACGCGUGGGAACGUGCCCUUCAGUUCGGGAUAACCCAGGGAAACUUGGGCUAAUACCGGAUACGUGCGAGAGCAGAAAGAUUUAUCGCUGGAGGAUCGGCCCGCGUCUGAUUAGCUAGUUGGUGGGGUAAUGGCCCACCAAGGCGACGAUCAGUAGCUGGUCUGAGAGGAUGAUCAGCCACAUUGGGACUGAGACACGGCCCAAACUCCUACGGGAGGCAGCAGUGGGGAAUAUUGGACAAUGGGCGCAAGCCUGAUCCAGCCAUGCCGCGUGAGUGAUGAAGGCCUUAGGGUUGUAAAGCUCUUUCGUCCGGGACGAUAAUGACGGUACCGGAAGAAGAAGCCCCGGCUAACUUCGUGCCAGCCGCCGCAGUAA